AUACUAUAUUAACAGGACUCGAACCCAGUUAAGUAUACACACUUAAUCGGGUUCGAGCCAAGUUAAUUUUACUGACCAAUAACAGCAACAAUGCCUGUUGUCCACGCUUGACGUUCCUUAUUUUGCUUGAUAACUCUAGCCGGAGGUACAGUGACAAUUUUCUACUUGGAUUCCUUAAAUCUAACUGAAUUAGCUAUAGUACCUGGACGCUCUUUAAACUGUCCCACAGACGUAACUUAUCAUCAUAAUUUUAUACGUUAAUUAUAGGUCUACAGACGCCAGCCAGGAUGAACACGAAUGUAACAAAAUGCACCAUGUGCAUGAAUCUCCAGAAAGACCCUGUUUACCUAUCUAAAUGUGGUCACUAUUUCUGUAAGUCCUGUACAAAAUUGUUUUUUGAGAAGACGAUGAUCUGUCCAACUUGCAGGCGGGAGAAUCUUUUGCUAGGAAAACUGCCAGUAGGGUACACGACUUGGAGGACUGAGUAUAAUUCACUUCCAGGAUACGAGGAGUGUGGAACCAUUGUCAUUACCUUCAACUUCAAAGAAGGAAUUCAAGGAGAGCCUUUCUGUGGUUUACUUUGUACAUCCUACCUCCCUAACAACCCAGCGGGACAAGAAGUGUGCAAGCUGCUGAGGAGCGCUUUUGAUGCACGGUUGAUGUUUACCAUUGAGGAAUCUCCCGCUACCGGUGACGAGUAUAACAUUAUAUGCAGCGGCAUCGAACUGAAAACAAAUCGAAGUGGGGGCCCAACCAACUGUGGCUAUCCAGAUCCUAGUUACCUUGACCGAGUAAAGUGUCAACUGGCCGAAAAGGGAAUUACACUGCCGGAUGACGACUCGCUUUGAUAUGAGUAGAGUAGAUUGAGAAAAUUGUUUCUUGUUUUAUCGUUGUCUCGUCGGAAUCUCCUCUUCAAACAGUGCCUCUUCAGACUGGAAUUUGGCAAUGGACCAACUCAAUUUUUCCACUUCUACAUGCUAUGUUCUAUUCGCAGUGUUACAAGCUGGGAGCACGCCGAUAUUGUUUCUCAAAGUCAUCGCGUUCGACGAUAGGAGCACGCACUCUAAUCCCGUCAUUCCCGCGGGUUUAUGUUCCGCGAUCUUCCGCUAGGCCAGAUGAUUUCAGGGUUUGGACACCAUCUUGGACUGACUGCAUGGAACAAGUAGCUUUGGUCUGAUGUGAUGCCUCGCUUUGAAUAAUAUUGAGGUCUUACACCACUGUGCUUUUCUUCCUUCGUUUUUCUACGAAGGAAUCUUCGCAGUUUUCGCCAAAGUUAGUGAAGUUGUGUUGAUUUAUUCGAACUAUUACCAGCUAAAUUGGCUAAAGGUACUUAUCUACACAGCAGAAAGCUGUGUAGUGCUGUAUUUUCUCCGAAACUGUGUGGGUAACGUAUCGAUUUGUGAUCUGUGUCAUCUCUUAGGAGUCAGCUGCUUUUCUCGGCGAUUCGACUUCUCUGAGAGAAUAUAGUUGCAAGGAUCGACCGUAAUAGCUGGAGUAAAUCAGCACAACUUCAUUGACCUUGGGAAAGACUGCAAAUAUGCCAACGUAGCACAAGAAACGACGAAAAGGAAAUGGAAAUGCACACCGCUCAACGAAUUUCACUGCAGGUAUGUCUAACUGAUGUAAGCUUGCAUGUAUACUUAAGUUAAACGCGUUCACAUUUGGAAGUAAAGUUUAUUCCUUUCUAUAGUUAUACACAGUACUUAAACUUACUAAACGAUCCGCCGGCUAGAGUAAUGUGGCAUCUAAUGCCAAUAAAGGGCACAAAAGUUAAACAACACCCCGAAAAAUACACAACUUGGCAAACCCUGGAAGGGAAACAUAAAUGGGCUUAAGUGUGUGCUGCUGUCAAGGGUAUGCUUUUCCAGCAGUCUACUUUGGGUAUAGAAAUCAGGAUUUGGUAAACAAUCUGAGAUCUCGAUAUAAAAAGAAAAGAGUUUCUGAUUUUUUAUUAAAUAUAGUAUGGAAUGUUAAUAGGGAAAGUAUUUCUGGUACCCAACAAUCAGAUGUCCAAAUACUAACUGAAUAUCCUCUGCUAUGACCCAAAAAUUCCAUACUCCUAGAAACACACCCCAUUGACAAAUUCCUAGAGUACCCCUUUCCUCCUCCCGGGUAUCGAACGCACUUUACUAAUCUCUGAUUACUACCAGUUAUUAUGUAAUUUUGAUUGAAAGGACGUAAUAAGGAGGGUCAUUCAAGGCUUGUGUUGACACACCCCAGAAGUGGUUGUUUUAUACAUGAUAAAUGUUUAUAUUCGGUUGAGAGGGGCGAAUUAGAAUAUAAAUGUAACGAGCGUGUAGACGCCGCAGUGGUUACUUAAACUACCUACUAGGGACGCCCAGGACAACGCACUUAAUAAAUAAAAUUGACAAAUCUAGGUAAAACAACCGAUUUUCAAGCAUAGGUACUAAACUAAGACAACCGCCACAUCAAAUACGGCAAUUGAUGUUCAGCUACACUGCACGCCGAGUGAUCAGCCGACUGAUCGCACCGACAAAUCGGUCAGUGUAAAACGCAGACUGCGGACUGUAGGCUGCAGACUGCAGACCGGGGAUAAAAUUCAG